GGUACCGGAAGUGCUAGCCACAGCGACUUCCGGUAGUCUCGGUCUUAGAGGAGUCCGUGGACUUUUUUGUCUUCUUGCGUACUGCACUAACUGAGCGACAAAUUGAUACCUAAGUUUAGCUGAUCUUUUUAUUGAAUUAAUUAAAACUGUUUUGAAAUCUAUUCUGUAAAAGCCUGAGAAAAAUUGCGGCUACAGAAGCUGUUUUGAAAUGCGCUUGGCUUCCGACUUCCGCAAGGGGAGGCAGCUGUUUCUUGUAGUCUUUCUCUGGCACUUUCGCUGAAAUGCAGUGGCACAGUCUUAGCUCAGCUCACUGCGACCUCCACCUCCCGGGUUCAAGUGAUUCUCAUGCCUCAGCCUCCUGAGUAGUUGGGAUUACAGAGACCUGGACUUAAUCUCAGCUGGUGUAUAGAGUUCUCUCCAAAAACAAGUGGCCUACUUCACAUUCAGUGAA
rnacentral:antisense_RNA from 1 species